GCCUACACAUGCAGUCGAGGGGUAUAGUUCUUCGGGACUAGAGACCGGCGCACGGGUGCGUAACGCGUAUGCAAUCUACCUUGUACAGAGGGAUAGCCCAGAGAAAUUUGGAUUAAUACCUCAUAGUGUUAUUGAAUGGCAUCAUUUAAUAACUAAAGUUCUAACGGUACAAGAUGAGCAUGCGUCCCAUUAGUUAGUUGGUAAGGUAACGGCUUACCAAGACAAUGAUGGGUAGGGGUCCUGAGAGGGAGAUCCCCCACACUGGUACUGAGACACGGACCAGACUCCUACGGGAGGCAGCAGUGAGGAAUAUUGGACAAUGGGCGCAAGCCUGAUCCAGCCAUGCCGCGUGCAGGAUGACUGCCCUAUGGGUUGUAAACUGCUUUUAUACAGGAAGAAACACUGCUACGUGUAGCAGCUUGACGGUACUGUAGGAAUAAGGAUCGGCUAACUCCGUGCCAGCAGCCGCGGUAAUACGGAGGAUCCAAGCGUUAUCCGGAAUCAUUGGGUUUAAAGGGUCCGUAGGCGGCCUUAUAAGUCAGUGGUGAAAUCUCCUAGCUCAACUAGGAAACUGCCAUUGAUACUGUAGGGCUUGAAUUUUUAGGAAGUAACUAGAAUAUGUAGUGUAGCGGUGAAAUGCUUAGAUAUUACAUGGAAUACCAAUUGCGAAGGCAGGUUACUACUAAUGGAUUGACGCUGAUGGACGAAAGCGUGGGUAGCGAACAGGAUUAGAUACCCUGGUAGUCCACGCCGUAAACGAUGGAUACUAGCUGUUCGGUCUUCGGACUGAGUGGCUAAGCGAAAGUGAUAAGUAUCCCACCUGGGGAGUACGCACGCAAGUGUGAAACUCAAAGGAAUUGACGGGGGCCCGCACAAGCGGUGGAGCAUGUGGUUUAAUUCGAUGAUACGCGAGGAACCUUACCAC
rnacentral:rRNA from 1 species